ensembl:snRNA U6 U6 spliceosomal RNA
GUGCUUGCUUUAGCAGCACACAUACUAAAUUUGGAACGAUACAGAGACGAUGAGCAUGGCCCCUGCCCAAGAAUGACUUGCAAAUUCAUGAAGCAUUCCAUAUUUUU